GGCAGGUCAGGGGUGUCAAGGUGCCCCAACCCAGUAUGUGCAGAUGGGAUGGUGGGAUCUAGGUAGACCCAUGAUGAGAACAGAGGGGACAACAUGGAGUCUUGUUGGAAAGGCAGACUUUGUGAUAGCUCUUGCUUGAUUUUAUAUCUUGGUGGACCAUCAGAUUCUGAUUUUAAUGCAAAUACAUUCCAUUCCUUUAAAUAUAUACACUCUCUUCCAUAUGUAUUAUAAAUAAAAAAGAACUUAUUUAGAAUAGCUCUGGGCUCACUCAUGUUUUUGUAUAUUACUGUAUCCUUUUGGAGCUGUUCUCCAAACUCUAGAGGCACCAUUCAGACAGAAGAAAUCAAUUUCAGACACGAUGGGAUAACAGUUUUCAACUCACUGGGCUGCAAGUUUGCAGGUGCACAGAUUCUCUCUCCACGCCAUACAGCCACCAGGGGAUGGAGGAAGGGAAAUGCUGGCAAUUCAAGAUUGUCUUUCCUAGCCCCUUCAGUGCCUUUUCCUUGAUAUGAUUUUAAAACCAGGUACUGUGAUUGCUCACCUGAUUUUAGGUUCUAUGAAGGUGCUUUCUUGUGUGGAUAUUUGUCCAAUUUGGUGUUCCUGUUAGGGUGGAGGGAAGAGUGAUCGCUGGAGGCUUCUGUUUGGCUGUCUUGUUCAUUCUACUCCUUUGGUAUUCGUUUUUGACUCCUG
rnacentral:lncRNA from 1 species